rnacentral:tRNA from 1 species
ACCGUUUUAGCUCAAUUGGUAGAGCAGCUGAUUUGUAAUUAGCAGGUUGUAGGUUCAAGUCCUAUAGGCGGCU